rnacentral:lncRNA from 1 species
GUCAGGCAUAGAUCUAAAUCAGAUUUGUUAAGCAUUUAUAUCAAUAUAUAAAAUAGAGAGAGAUGAUCUCACACCUUGUGUGGGUAGAUGAACACCGUAAUUUGUAUACUGUGGAUUUGAAGGAGGUUCAUUUGUGAAGCCGCGCACAUAUCCGACUUCUAUAGAUAUCCACUAAGAUCAACCUUGGAUCGUUCUUCUACUAAGUCUUUCUGGAUCCUUUAUCAACACUUGAUCCUCUUCCCCAC